CCUGGCUCAGGAUGAACGCUAGCGACAGGCUUAACACAUGCAAGUCGAGGGGCAGCACAGGUAGCAAUACCGGGUGGCGACCGGCGCACGGGUGAGUAACGCGUAUGCAACUUGCCUAUCAGAGGGGGAUAACCCGGCGAAAGUCGGACUAAUACCGCAUGAAGCAGGGAUCCCGCAUGGGAAUAUUUGCUAAAGAUUCAUCGCUGAUAGAUAGGCAUGCGUUCCAUUAGGCAGUUGGCGGGGUAACGGCCCACCAAACCGACGAUGGAUAGGGGUUCUGAGAGGAAGGUCCCCCACAUUGGUACUGAGACACGGACCAAACUCCUACGGGAGGCAGCAGUGAGGAAUAUUGGUCAAUGGCCGAGAGGCUGAACCAGCCAAGUCGCGUGAGGGAUGAAGGUUCUAUGGAUCGUAAACCUCUUUUAUAAGGGAAUAAAGUGCGGGACGUGUCCCGUUUUGUAUGUACCUUAUGAAUAAGGAUCGGCUAACUCCGUGCCAGCAGCCGCGGUAAUACGGAGGAUCCGAGCGUUAUCCGGAUUUAUUGGGUUUAAAGGGUGCGUAGGCGGCCUUUUAAGUCAGCGGUGAAAGUCUGUGGCUCAACCAUAGAAUUGCCGUUGAAACUGGGGGGCUUGAGUAUGUUUGAGGCAGGCGGAAUGCGUGGUGUCGCGGUGAAAUGCAUAGAUAUCACGCAGAACCCCGAUUGCGAAGGCAGCCUGCCAAGCCAUUACUGACGCUGAUGCACGAAAGCGUGGGGAUCAAACAGGAUUAGAUACCCUGGUAGUCCACGCAGUAAACGAUGAUCACUAGCUGUUUGCGAUACACUGUAAGCGGCACAGCGAAAGCGUUAAGUGAUCCACCUGGGGAGUACGCCGGCAACGGUGAAACUCAAAGGAAUUGACGGGGGCCCGCACAAGCGGAGGAACAUGUGGUUUAAUUCGAUGAUACGCGAGGAACCUUACCCGGGUUUGAACGCAUUCGGACCGAGGUGGAAACACCUUUUCUAGCAAUAGCCGUUUGCGAGGUGCUGCAUGGUUGUCGUCAGCUCGUGCCGUGAGGUGUCGGCUUAAGUGCCAUAACGAGCGCAACCCUUGCCACUAGUUACUAACAGGUAAAGCUGAGGACUCUGGUGGGACUGCCAGCGUAAGCUGCGAGGAAGGCGGGGAUGACGUCAAAUCAGCACGGCCCUUACAUCCGGGGCGACACACGUGUUACAAUGGCGUGGACAAAGGGAGGCCACCUGGCGACAGGGAGCGAAUCCCCAAACCACGUCUCAGUUCGGAUCGGAGUCUGCAACCCGACUCCGUGAAGCUGGAUUCGCUAGUAAUCGCGCAUCAGCCAUGGCGCGGUGAAUACGUUCCCGGGCCUUGUACACAC
rnacentral:rRNA from 1 species